AGUGCAUGGUGGGCUGCAGGCUGAGCCACCAGGCAGCUCUCUGCCCCCGGGCUUCUAAUCCAAGUAGCAGGAGCAUUUUGUCCGCCUCCUUCCAGAGAGCAGAUCCCGAACGCUCUCUGGUCUUCAGGCACCAUCUCGGCAUGAAUAACAAGUCUACGUGAGUCUACCGGCAGGAUCAGCGCUGCAGCCAUUCAGGGACGGGGGCAGCAGGGAACCUGCCCCGGCGGGCGUCACGUGGCCAAGGGCAGGCCGCAAGGUGCGUGGCGUCGGUGUGCAUAUGCCUUUCCCUUUAGAGACCAUCGCCUGAACAAAAUUCCUCCCCGGCUGUGCUUUUUCCUUCCUGAAGGCUGUUGUCUGCUGGAGAUCUGCCUGUGGGUGGAGAGUGACUUCUUUCACUUCUGAUCAGCGGCAAAGGAGACGUUGCUGUUUUGCUUGUUAAAAGGUUUUGUGUUCUCUUGAGAGUUGCAAAAAAGCGUUACAAUCCUCAUAUGCAAAUUCUAUAAGCUUUACUGUUCUCCUCAGGUGUGCAUGCCAAGUUUUCAUUAUGAAGGCUCCCUGCUGUGAAAAAAAGGAGCUGACCUGGAGGAGGAAGGAGACAUUGAUAGUAGAUUUACUCCUGGAGCCCCACAGCUUUAUACCUACAAACUGGCUGAGUCCUGAGAUGAGUGCUGCUUUUUAACUUUGCCUGCACAGUGGGAAAAGCUGCUGCCAGUUGGGUAUGGGCACCUGCAGGCAGCACUACUGUAUACUACCAAUGGGGUAAAGUAAGCCAAGUUUCUUCUCCAUGUAAAGUCUGAUUUCUUCAGAAAGAAAAUAAAAAUUGCACAAAGUACAGUACUGAUUCAAUAAAUAUUAUAUUCAAUCACAUGGCUGAAUCUGGUCAUCUCAGCUUGGAAAGAGUGUAAUGACUUCAGAAUCGGGAUAUACUGGUAGAAUCAGCAAAUCCAAAUAUCAGAAUCUUUGAAAUAUAGCGUACGCUCAGGAUAGAAUUUCAUUAUGAAGGUGGUGAUCAAACUCCUCCCUCAGUGCAAUGCGUCACCAGUGUCGUAUUAAAUGGAUAGUGAACACCUUUUUGCCAUAAUAGGCAUAAUAUAUCACUACUUGUCCAAGUCAAGUUG